rnacentral:piRNA from 1 species
UGAUAGAAGGCUAGAAACACCAGUG